UUUUUGGUGGCUUGUUCAGCCUUUUAUUGAAUAAUCAAACCAAAUAUGUACAAAGCCCAUGGCCCAUGGCCCAAACAAAACAAAGCAAAAAAUAGGAUGGGUCUACAAGACCCGAUCCAUUUACUAUCCAAUCCCUUACAAUUAGGGUAUAUGUUUCUUAUUGGAAAGUACUCCCAUGAACGAAAUUUCCCUACUUUGAUGCUGCCCUUCUGACUCUUGAUGUUCUUCCUCCAUUGUUCUCCAUGAUGAAGCUCAAUUUGCUCAGGUAAUGUUCUCUUCCAUUUUGCUUCAUUUCUUGUUUUAUCUACUCUCUUAAUCUUCCAUUUAUUUUCAGCUUGACUUAGCUCCAUUUCCAUGAUGAAGGAUCAACUUGUUGCUCUAAUCUGCACCGCAAUCCGCCUUGAUUGAAGCCUUUUAGCUGAGUUUGCUCCUCCUCGAUCUACAUAGCCCUUCCCCCCCCCCCCUUUUUUUUUUUUUUUACUACUCCUAUCUAUCAAAUACUGUGUGGUGAUCUUGUUGUUACUUUCUAGAAUAUUUGUGAAAAAGUGAUGUUCAUCGCCCUUCUCUGUUAAUGCUUGAUGUCGAAUGUAAUUAAUCUUGUGUGAUUUCUGGCCUGUCAUGGACUCAUUGUGGGAUGAUUGUGCGUGUUCUAAUUCUGAAUGUAGGAAUUUGAGCUUUGUCUGCGUUUAAAAUCCUUCUUUCCUUCAAUGGUAGUUCCUGGAAACAACUAUAUUGAUGUUCUGCCUGUGAUUCUAUAACUAUAUUAGCCAAUGAAUCUGCCAAACUAUUACCCUCUCUAAAUAUGUGUGUGAUCUUUGCUCUAAUCUUUUCCAUAAUCUCUCUGAUCUCUUCCACUUUUUCUGCUAUUUUCCAUGGAACCCUCCAAGACUGCUGAAUGAUUUUCUUGAGACUGAGUGAAUCAGUCUCAACAAUCACAUUCUGCAUUUUUCUGUUAAAACACUCUCUAAGGGCUGUUAAAAUGGCAACAGUUUCUGCUUCCAUAUUUGUUGCAAUUCCAAUACCUUUAGCUUUAGCAUAUAUUAGAUCCCCUUUAUCAUCUCUAAUACAAAACCCAAAAGAACUCCAACCAGGAUUACCUAUGCAUGCUCCAUCAAUGUUACACUUUACAUAAUGAUCUUCAGGAGGUUUCCAAGUGACCCUCAAGAAGUGUAUCUUUGGCUUGUACUGAUUGAGCCCUUGUAUUAUGUCUUGCCAAGUCCAUCUCAUAUUCUUUAUCCAUGGAAACUGAGUCUUCACCAUCUGCCUUACCACUUCUAUUGCCAUUUCCACCAUUAUUUCCCAACUGAUGUUACUUCCAUGUUUGAGGGCAUUUCUUCUCUUCCAUAAAGUCCACAUGAUGAUGGCUGGUAUUACUUUGAAUAUGCUCUGCAAUUUUGGUGUUGCCUCAUGUCUCCACCAAGCUAUUAUGAGUUGUUGAAGAUGCAUUCCAUCAAUAUUGAUUCCUGCAAAAUGAGCAAAGUACCUCCAUAGCUUGUAGGCUAUGGGGGCUGUUAGGAAUAAAUGUGUCAUUGUUUCCUCCUCUUUCUUGUCACAACACCAACAUCUGGACACUAUAUUGAUUCUCAUCUUUUUAAGAUUGUCAUCAGUGGCAAUCCUCCUUUUCCAUACUCUCCACAAGAAAAAAUUAAUCUUAAAAGGCAACCCCUUAUUCCAGAUUAGCUCAUAGUCUCUUCUAUUUUCAUGUUUGUUUCUCAUAAUCUGCCAAGCUGAUUUAACUGUGAAUCUUCCUUGUGCAUUUGCCAUCCACCAGGCCACAUCAUUUCCAAACAAAAUGUUUGGAGGUGAAAUGUUCUCCAUAAUAUGUUCAGUCAUUUCCAGUGACAGAUUCUGAAGCAACUUCUCCCUGUCCCACCCCUCUUCUGUACUGAACUCCUUAACCUCCACCUCCUCUUCCUUUGCAGCAUCUUCUAUAUGGUACAAUGCUCCUUGUUUGGUCCAAUUGUCAAACCAAAAACUCGAAUUACCUGCCUUAUUUUGCCACCAGAUUUCAUGCUCUACUUCCUCCCUUAUUGAUGUCAUUCUUCUCCAAACAUGAGAUGUCCCAUAUCCCUGAGCAAUAAUAGGGUGAUGCUUCUUACAGUAUUUGUUCCACAUAAAAGAUGCCCAUAAAGUGAUUGUGGAAGUUCUGAAGUUCCACCAGAGCUUGGCAAACAGGGCUUUUGAAACAUCAUGUAAUGAUCUCCAUCCCAAUCCUCCUUCCCCUCUUGGAUAGCACAUUCUGUCCCAGCUUACCCAGUGCUUGUUCUUGGCCCCAGUAGUGUUAGCCCAAAAGAACUUAGCAAAAAUUCUAUGCAGUUGGGUAAUGACACACGCUGGAGGGUUCAUGGCAGAAAGUACAUAUAUUGGCAAUGAUUGUAGUACAUUGGCUAUUAGGACAUAUCUUCCUCCAAAGGAGAGUAACCUAUUCUGCCAGGAGCUUAUUCUCUUCAUUACCUUUUUUAUCAAACUUUCAAAGUGAGUUUUGUUCUUCCUUCCAUAGAAAAUAGGACAUCCUAGAUAAGUGAAAGGAAAAGAUCCCUGCUUAAUACCUGUUAUUCUUUUUAUCUUCCUGCAUACACCAAGAGGCACAUUUUCAUGCAAAUAUAUAAAGCUCUUGUCUAGGUUUAUCAUCUGACCUGACACUUGUUCAUAUUCUCUCAACACCUUCAUCAUUUUCUUCAUUGAGUAUGACUGUCCUCUGCUGCUAUGAUAAACAAUGCUGGAGAAAGAGGAUCCCCUUGUUUUAAUCCUCUUGAAGAUUGAAAAAAACCAAAGCGCUGCCCAUUCAUAAUCACUGAGUACCAAUUGUUUGAUAUCAACCUUACCACCAUGUCAAUGAUUCUUUCUGAAAAUCCAAAACUCCUUAGCACCUUUGUGAGAAAUAUCCAAGACACUAUAUCAUAUGCUUUAGCCAUGUCCAAUUUCACCACCACAUUGUGAAGUUUAUUUCUCCUAUUUAUGUCCCUGAUGAUCUCCUGAGCUAGAAGCACAUUCUCUGUGAUGCUUCUCCCUUUCACAAACCCUGUUUGAUUCUGGGAUAUAAUAGAAGGUAGUACUUUGACUAAUCUAUCAUGUAACAGUCUUGACAUGAUCUUGUUAAUAAAUGUACUUAGGCUUAUUGGUCUCAAAUCACCAAAACUAUCCACCACCUCCUUUUUAGGAAUAAGAACCAAAUUGGUGUGAGUUAUAAACCUAGGAAGCUCCUGACCACAGAAAAAAGCUCUUACCAUGUUGACUAUGUCCCAUUUCACAGUAUCCCAACAACUCUGGAAAAAAUGUCCAGAGAAGCCAUCUGGUCCACUUGCACUAUCACCAUUUAAUGCAAAUACCACUUCUUUGAUCUCAUCUUCAGCUGGUAAUCUUCCUAUUUCUUUAUUCUGUUCUUCUGAUAUCAUUUUAGGUAUAUGUGCUAGCAUUGAAAAAUCUGUAGGCACAUAUGUCUCCUUAAAUUGUUCCUUGAACACAUUCACUGCCUCUUCCCCAAUACUUUGAGUGGUGGUUAUUGUAUCUCCUUGCCUGGUUUUUAUCACAGAUAUCUGCAUCUUUCUCCUUCUCCCAUUCACAAAAGCAUGAAAAAACUUUGUGUUUCUAUCACCAUCUUUAAACCAUCUCAUGCCUGUUUUUUGCUUCCAAUACUCUUCCUCAAUGUGCAGGUAUUCUUUUAGGUCUGCCUCAGAUUUCUUCAAUGUUGUCCUGUUUUCUUCUGAUGCAUUUAUUUCUAACUGAACCUCUUUGGCCCUUACUAAAUCCUCCAAUGUAGCUACCUGUUGAAAAAUAUUUCCAAAGGUUGUCCUACUCCAUUGCACCAAAGCCAAUUUCACCCUUUUCAUUUUGGUUUGCACUACUGUGAAUGGUGAGCCUGUUGCUUCCAUCUUCCAUACAUCCUCCACUAUUUUCUGAAAACUAUGAUGUUUUAUCCAGAAGUUGAGAAAUCUAAAAGGCUUAUAUAUUUGCUCCUGGCCUGUACUGCAAGUAACAUGUAGUGGGGCAUGAUCUGAACCCUCCCUGAUCAGAUGUUGGACUUUUGUAUUCUACAAUUCAGCCAUAAAUGCAUUAUUCCCAAAGACUCUGUCCAGUCUUUUAAAUAUACAAUCUUGCUCUAUUCUGCCAUUCCACCAGGUGUAACAACUUCCAGAGAAUUUUAUCUCAUUUAAUUCACAAGAGCUUAUGCAUUGUACAAAGUCCUCUACUUCUACUUGUGAGACAGGUAAUCCUCCUAACUUUUCAGACUCAUCAGCAAUAGUAUUGAAAUCUCCCCCUACCAUCCAAGGGCAAUCUGUGUUGCAAGCCACCUCUUCAAGGUCUUCCCACAGUUCCAUUCUCUCCAGGGCACUACAUCUAGCAUAAACUGCUGUAAUCUUGACUUGACCAUUAUUAUUUCUAUGUUUGAAAGAGACAGUAAUCUGCUGCACUGAGUCAAUACAAUCCAGCUCUUCCCACUCUUCAUCCCAAAACAACCAUAUUUUGGAAGAACAAUUAACUUUGGCAUGUUGUUUCCCAAGUCUUCUCCUGUAUCUAUCUAUUUCUGAAGGACUCUGAAAAGGCUCUAAGAGAGCAAUGUAUGAAUAGUGAUGUUUUCUAUUUAGAUCCAGUAGUCUCUCAAAAGAAUUUUGAGAUUUUACUGAUCUGAUAUUCCAAAAUAGAAUUUUACUAAUCAUUGAUCAAGACUUAAGGCCUUGCCCCUUCUAUUCUUUGUAUUAACAUAAGAUAUGCCCAAAUUGUUGUUCCUGUGAGUCCCAUAUCUUCCUUUCAAAUGUCCUAUAUGUCUUGGAGAUAAAUCUCCCUCUCUACUGAUGCAAAGUAUGUUAGCAUCCAUGUUUUCUUCUUCUUCUGUGUCUAGUUUUUUUUGUAUCUCUUGUGCCAUUUUCUUCUCAAUAUUAGGUGUGCUGAAACUAUCUGCUCCUCUCCUUGCCAAAUCAUCUUCCUUCUGCAAUUCCAGUGCAUUUAUCUUCCCUCUUUCCCUUUCCUUAUCAAUCAUUGCCUUGUUUGCCUCUAGUUGUGUCCCAUUGGAGCCUGUAUCUUUUUCAAUAGGAUUUUCUAAGCUAUCAAUUUGCUCCAAUCCCAUCUUGUUCUCUUUUAUGUGAAAAUUAGAGGACCAUGUCGCACUUUCUCUUCUAUUUCCCUCCUGUUGUGUUACUGCUUUCUGCUGAGCUGGUAAACUUUUAUUACCCUCAUCUGCUUGGUGUGUAAAAGUAUCUUGCUUAUCAUCUUCCCCUUCUAAUGCCCCAAAUUUAUUCUUUGUAGUCACCUCUGCAUUAACUUGGGAAGUUCUUACAUUCCAUACUUGUGCUGUCGUUCUAUUCUGAAUCUGAUACCCCUUUCUGUAACCAUACCUCCUCCAUUGUUCCCUGAAAUUUGUGUUCCUUUCUUUAUCCUCCUGCACUCUGUCACCUUGUUCCUGCUUUUCACCAUUAGCACAUUUUCCAUCAGCUUGAUUACCUCUUUCCCCCUUGUUUUCUUUGUUAUCUUGCUUCUGUUCUUUCUCUUCUGUCUGUUCAUCUUGUGGGAAAAGUUAUGGGUGAAUUACAUAACAGUCUUUCUCAUUGUGUCCAUGGAGCUUGCAAGUUUUGCAAUAUUUUGGAACAUAAUCAUAAUUGAUUGUCACCCAUUUUUCCAUGAUUUCCCCUGUCUUCUUCCUCAUUUCAAUAUUUAUUCUUUUUGGGAAUUCUCCCAACAGAUCCACCUCUACCUUUACCCUUGCACAACUAGGUUUUGUUUUAUUCUGAGUUGCCAGGUCUACCUGUAAUGGUCUUCCAACUGCUGCUGCCAUUGAAAAUAUUGUCUCCUUACCGAAAAAGUUCGGUGGCAAUGAUGGGAAAGAUAUCCAGGCUAUUGCGGUGGUCGUCUCCUCCUCUGGAUCAAACAAAGGGUCCCACUUCAGUGUUCGCAUUGGAUAGGACCAAUGAUUGUGAGUGAUGUAAAAUUGCGGCUUGGAUAACAGCUUCACAUAGUCCUCAAGUAGUGAUGCCCUGAUCAAUACAUAUCUGUUACACAGAAGCCCUAUGUCCACUUCCCCUUUUAGCUCACAUUGUUUUGGGAUUAACUUCCUCAGAUCUAGGAUAUCAGGCCAUCCAUAAGAAAAUUUUCCAAUCACUGCAUAUUGGAGGUCCUCGUUAAUAAUCAUCUGUUGUACUUCUUCCUCUUCUCAUACUAGCUUUGGUUCCCCAUGCAAAUAUGUUAAAGGCUUAAUCUGCAAACUAUGAUGUGGUUUUUUUGGUGCUACAAGAGUGUUUGCAUAUGAUAUUUUUAUAUCCUCUAAUGGUCCCUGCGUCUGGCCAACCUCAAUUGGCGGAGGCUGGCCGGUGGCCAUUGAAAACAGUAGGCAAAAUUAGGUUUUAGGCUUCUUGGUGUAGGGAAUUAGUUUUGCAAUCUGUUAUAGAUAUAAUAUUAUGUACAUAUAGAUUUAAAAAAAAUCUUUAAAGAUAUAUACUAAAGAUUUGAACACCCUUAACAAAAUUUCUAGCUUCACCACUAUUUCCAAUAGAACCUCAGCUCAAGUAAAGCAUCUCGAAGCACUUUAAAAAAGAGAAUACAUGAAGAUCUUUCUUUUUUAACAAUUCAUUUGAAGAUUAUUUUUUUUAAACAAUUCAUUUGAAGAUCAAAAAUAGAACAUCGAUCCAUUUGAAGAAUAAAACAUGUAAUUUUUUUGUUUGCUAAGGUUUUAAAAGUACUUCUUCGAAUGAUUUGUUUUUGUUUAGCUUCCGAAAAAUAGCUUGAACAGUAUGUCUGACUUUAAAUUAUCUUGUGAUUUAUUGAUGUCACUUGUUUGGAAAUAUUAAAAGUCACAAAAAUUCUCCUAGUUUGAUGUGUGUUUAUGGUAUCAUUCUUAAAGAUAUUUCAUCAUUGUAUGUGUAAUCUUCAGCAUUCAACAAGUUUUUUCAUUAUAAAACGAGAAGUCAAAAUCUGAUAAAAAUUUAAAUUUUUAAUAGAUCAGGCAGAAAGUGUAGUAUAGUUUGUUGUGUAAAGAAAGUGUACAAAUUAUUUUUUAAUGUCAAUUAAAAAAUGACAAUAAAGAGAGAAAACUAUAAUCUAUUUGCCAUAAUAAAUAUAUUAAAGACAAUUCAAUUUUGCAUUAAUUGACUACUGAACUGUAAAUGCAAAUAUUAGAAAAUGAAUAAUUCUUUUGAGAUGAUAAAGAAAUAUUCUUUUCAAUAACUUGUUCUCUUGUUAAUUAUUUUAUGUAUGACUUUUUUGUUAUUGUAUUUAUUUUAGAUAUUUAAUUUUUGAUAUUUGAAUCAAAGAUCUAUCAAAAUAAUCUCUUUAACUUAAUAUUGAUAGAGUGGGUUGAGACAAAAUCCACCAUGCCCUCACCCCACCCCAUUCCAUUACCAUCCCUAUUGACAUUAUAAGCAAAUUAAAAACCUUCAUCAAUUUGAGUCGGAAAGCAUAUAGGUUAUUUGAGUCUUUGCUUAAUGUUUUUUUUUAUUAUAAGAGAAUAGGUCCAAAUAUAUUCUUGUGUUAUAUAAUUUUGUACUAAACAAUUUAGAGUUAAUGUACCUUUGAUUAAAAUAGUUUUACAUUUAUACUUUGUUACACAAAUGGCUCAAUAUAUUCUCUUUGACUAAUGAAAGCUAAAAUAGUUAAUAUAAGAUCAAAUUUUCUAGUUAUUUCAAAUUAAAAUAAAAUCCACAUAAUUUAAUCAUUCUCACAAAAUUCAAAGAUAUAUUUAAUCCUUCUCUCAUAUAAGUUUUGUCUUCUUUAAUUCAACAAUUAAUUUAAAUUUAUAGCUUUGGAUGAUCAAAUAACUUCUUUUUUCACUCAUACUCUUCUUCUUAAAUUUAUCACACAUAUAACCCACCUACCCCACCCCCACCAUCCAAAAAAAGAAAAAUAUAUACAUAUGAAGAAAAAUAAAGAAUUAUUGAGAAUGAUAAAGAAUCUUGAGGCUUUAAAAGAACCUGAUUUUUUAAUUUAAAUCAAUCUUUUGAGUUUCAUCAUUUAUCGAAUUAAGCUUAUUUUAUUUAUUUAGCCCAUUUCGAUGUGCUAAAAUUCAACUCAGAAUGUGCAUUUAAUCCUCCCACCCCCCACACCCACCAACUAUAAUUAUACUUAAAUAAAAGAAAUUCAAUUUCUUUUUGGUCCAAGAAAAUUUAUAAUAUUGAUAAUAGUUUGAUCAAAUGACCGAAGAAGACAACAAAAUCAAGAAAUAUAAAAUUCUUGAUUUUUUUAACAAUACAUGGGAAAUACUUCUCAAAAAUUAUUUAAAUAAAGAAACUUAAACAUAAAACUAAUUCAUCCAAUAAAAAAACUUAUGGACACUUUGGUCCUCCUCUUUUUGUUUUCCAAUCAUUAUAGCAAGCACAACACUCUUUACCCCCACUAGUUCCUGGUGGAACACAUUGACACCAUUCACAACAUUUGUUGCAAAAAAAUAAACAAGGUUUUUUGUGAGAUGUAGCUGAACAUCUUUGAUUGCAUGCAUCUCCACAUUCUGAAAAACACAAAAAUAAAAUAAAAUAUAAUCAUUUAUCGAGUUGCUUAAAUUAAAAAUAACCAGCGAAUGUAUAAUACAUGUAUAAUGCAUGUAUAACAAGUGAUAUUGUUUUGAAAUCCUUUGUCAAUGCAACUAUUCAUAUGGUUUCAAUAUUAAUUUGCGGACCGAGAUUGAUGUUAGAAGUAAAGAAAGAUUUGUCUAAUAGUCUCGACGUUCUUGUUAGGAUGCAUUAUAUAUGUAUAAUCCAUGUAUAACAAGUGAUGGUGUUUUAAAAUCCUUUGUCAAUGCAACUAUUCAUAUGGUUUCAAUAUUAAUUUGCGGACCGAGAUUGAUGUUAGAAGUAAAGAAAGAUUUGUCUAAUAGUCUCGACGUUCUUGUUAGGAUGCAUUAUAUAUGUAUAAUCCAUGUAUAACAAGUGAUGGUGUUUUAAAAUCCUUUGUCAAUGCAACUAUGCAUAAGGUUUUUUCAAUAUUAAUUUGUGGUUCGAGAUUCAUGUUAGAAGUAAAGAAAAAUGUAUCAAACCAUCUCGAUAUUAGGAUGCAUUAUAUAUGUAUAAUCCAUGUAUAACAAGUGAUGUUGUUUUAAAAUCCCUUGUCAAUGCAACUAUGCAUAAGGUUUCAGCAUUAAUUUAUGGUUCGAGUAAAGAAAAAUUUAUCAAACAGUCUCAACGUUCUAGUUUUGAACCAAUAAAAAGGAGGUAUACUCACUAUCUGCAGCCACAGGACAAGUUGUUGGACCAGUAGGGGGCUUGUCAACUUUGAUUAUUUGUGCAUUAGACAUUAAAGCUAUGAUAAUCAAACCCAAAAAAAUGUGAAAAAACCUCAUCAUGUAUAUUUUCUUUUAGUCUUGAAAAACUAAUGUUAGUUUUCAAUUUUAAUUUUGUUUUGUGAGAAAAUGAUUUGUGAUGAAUCCUUCAAUGUGUGCAUUAUUUAUAGGCAAGAUUAAUUAUGUUAUAACCAAAAUAAUAAAUUUUUAAUUCAUUGUAGAUAUUGCUAUUAAUAUAACAUUUACUUAAGAUUUAUCUAAUAAUUAAAUGCAUAUAAAGAUAGAAUUAAUGCUCCAACCGUCCAUUUUAGUUUUCACACUUCAUUUAAAAAAUCAUAAAUAAAAAGUGUUUUUUUUUUUACUAAUUUAGCUUUUUUUUCUUUCCGUGUAAGCAAUAUUGUUUACUCUCAAAACAAUUAUUAUAUCACUCUUUUGAAUAUAAUAAAUUCAAUUAUUUGAAUAAUGCAUCGGGAGAUGAGUGAUGAUAUAAUAAAUAAUAAGAGUAAAUUAAGAAUUAAUUUUAAUAAAUUAUAUCUUGAUUUUUAAAAUUGUACAAGUAAAAGUGACAUUUUUUAGUGUAAUAAACAAGUAAAAAUAGAUGAAGAGAAUAAUAAGUCUAUGUUAAUUUUAUGAGUUGAUAAGUUUUUAGAUGAUAUUGUUAAUAAUAUUAACAACUAUUCGCUAUGUCCCUAACUACUUGUCCACUUUUGAAUUGACAAACAUAUUAAGAAAACAAUAAUUGACAUAGUGAAUUUACCAUUUUACCCCUAUUAAUUAUGAAGUGAAUGAAUUAAAAACUUAAGAUUUUCAAGAAGUUCUACCUUUUUUAAAGUAAUUAAUUGAGGGUAUAACAGAUAAAUAAAAAUUGUCCUUGCUUGAUUUGUCGAAAUAGACAAGUAAUUAGGAACAACUAAAAAAGAAAAUGUGGACAAGUAAUUAGGGACAGAGGGAAUAAUAUGGAACGAAGGUACUAGACGACUAGUUAUCUUACAUAUUGUAAUUAAAUGAACUUCAAACUAAAUUUAGCUAAAAGUUGCAUUUAUUAAAAUAAUUAAAUUAAAGACUCGUAUUAGGAUAAAAUCACAUUUUAAAAUUUAUAUUAAAUGCCUCACAUGAUAGGUGAAGUCUAUUAUUCUACGUUGUGAAUUUAUGAUUUUUAAUUAUUAGACAAAAGAGUUCAAAUAUACUAACGAAAAACAAGGGCAUAUAUGGCUCAUAUUUGUACAAGCAAAGGCAUAUUUGACACCAAAUUGUUAAACGAGUAUAUUCAUGAUGCAUUUGUAUAGUUCAAUGACAUAUUCGAAUUUCGAACUACUACUAAAAUCAAGUGUGAAAAAGAAAAAAAAAGGAUAGUAUUAGUAAAGCAAUCAUACUAAAUAUUGAAUUUGCUAUAUACUCGAUAAAUAAAGAAGAAUCAAUUUCAUUUUGGUUCAUAAAAAAUUAUAAUAUGGAUAAUAGUUAGAUCAUGUGAACCUAACAGAAAACAUAAUCAAGAAAUAUUAAUUCUUGAUUUUAACAACACAUAAGAAAAAGCUCCACAAUGACGGAUAGCGUACAAGUACCGCGAGGGAAAAGGUAAAAAGAACCCUCUUUUUCUCCUCGUACAGUCUUGGCUCUAAUAAAGAGAAAUAAUCUCUUCCUACCCUACGAUAGGAAAAAAAAUACUUCCUCAAGAAGAUCAAAUAAAAGAAAAAUACACAUAAAACGGAUACAAUAGAGACAGGGAAUUACAAGGUGGAGAAUCGAACAAUCACCAACAAAGUGAAAAUCCAAGUAACCAGCCAACCAACAACUGAGCUACUAAGAUUCUCCGACACACCAUUUUUCCAUGAUUAGUUUAAAUAUCAUGGACACUUUGGUCCUCCUAUUUGUGUCUUCCAAUUGUUGUAGCAAGAACAACAUCCUUUAUUUUGCCCAACAUAACCUGGUGGAACACAUUGGCACCAUCCACAACAAUGGUUGCAAUAAAACAAACAUCUUUUUUUGUGACCUUUGUGUGAGCAUCUCUUAAUACAUGCUUGUCCACAUUCUGAAGAAAACAAAAGGUUAAAAUUAAAAAUAGUCGGUGAAUACAUAUUACAUGUAUAAUCAGUAUAUAAUCUAUGUAUAAUGUGUGUAUAUAAUCUAUAUAUAUAUUUGGAUCAAUGUUCCAUUCUUUAUGAGAAAAGGUACCUCUCUUCUUUCAAAAAAAAUAAUUUACAUUUAAUUAACAUGUAGUUGUUGUAAAGUAUAAUGGAAGUCAAGUGUAAACUAUAUUUCAAAGCAAAUAACAUGCAAUCCAUGUGUAUUAAGAGUGAAAAUUGAACUUAAAGGUGAAGCAAGGUAAAGAACGACGGAUCUCUUUAUGAUACGAGAGAUCUAUUUUGCAUCUUCGUUAUUACGAGUAGUUUUACAAAGGAUCAGACUAAUCACAUAAACAAUACUUGAAUUCUCAAUAGAGAUGUUACAUUGUUAAUUCUUAUUUCUCAUCCUUUAGAGACUACGAGUGUUAUAAGAUUAUCAUCUAUCCACAAAAAGAUAACCUUAAGAUGAUCAUCUUAGAUGAGUGAAGAUUGUUCAACUAAAAGGUGAAGCAAGAUUAGGAACGGCGAAUCUCAAUAUAAUACACGAGAUCCAUUUUGCAAGUUCUUUAUAACAACAAAUUCUACAAAGGAUCAGACUAAUGACGUAAACAACACAAGAAUUUGAAUCCUCAAUGUAAAUACUAGAUAGUUGAUUCUCAAUAUCCUUAAAAGAGUACGAUUGUACUAAGAUGAUCAUCUUGUGGCUAUUAAAAAUGACCUAAAUCAAAUUAUUAUAUUUCUCAAUCUAACACAAAACUUUCAUGAUAGAUGAGUAUAGAUUGCCCAACUAAUAUAUAACACAUCGAACCAAGUGAUAUCACUGACCUUUUCGAGAUUCAAAUAAUUCUUUCUUUAAUUGUAAUUUAUAAUAUGUAUUUAAAAUAUUUUAAAUUGUCACUUACUAUAUGUAUUUUUAAAGUAAUUUUUAAAUAUGUGAAUUUUAUUUUAAAAAACUGAAAUGAUAUGUCUGAAUUUACCGACUAAUAGUUUUGACUAUAAAAAUUCCGUACCAUAUAAAUCGAGACAAAAAGAGUAGAUCCAUCGAUAAUGCUUGAAAAUAAUGCAUACAAACAUCAAUUUGGGGAUAGUAAGUAAAUCAAUUUAACCAUUAGAACCUUGUAAUUCCAGAUCGAUACUGUUCAUAAAACCCCCAAUUUCAAACCAUUAUAAAUAAUAAUAACAUAGUCGGUACUACAACAACAUAUUCAGUGUAGUCUCAUAAAAUGUGCUCAGAAAUAAUAGAGCGUACACAGAUCAUAUCUCUAACUUGAAGUAGAUAAGUUAUUUCUGAUAAACCCUCCGUUAAAAAAAAAAAAAGGUAGCAAUGUAGGAAAGAAGAAUAUAAACCACAAAUAAUACGAUAAUCGAAGCAAUAAAAAAGAAAGAUAUAAGAAGAGGUACUUACUACUUCUAGGCACAGGACAAGUUGUUGAACCAAUGAGAGGUUUAGCACUUAUCACAGAAACAGUGAUAAGCAAAACCAAAAAAAUGAGAAUAAUUUUCAUAUUGUAAGCAAAUUUGUGAAGAUGAAGAAGAAAAUAUCUAAAAUUAUCAAAACUCAAAUGGACUUUUAAAGAUACAAAAAGAGUCUGUUUUUGUAUUGAACUUUUCACAUUCUGUCUAGAUCUCAGGGGAAUCAUUUAAUGCUUAAUUUAAUCACCGUCGUUGGAUUAGAUUGAUGGACGGAUAAGAUUAAUUUAACAUGGGACUUUUCGUAUUAUGUCUGGACCUCACAUGGGCUUUUUCUCUAUCCGUCUUAUUUAAUGUGGUACUCAUUCGUCCAAUUUUUGACUUGACACACUUAUUAAAAAUAAAAAAUUAACGUGAUAAGUUUAUUAUUUUAGACUUAUUAAUGAAGUUAGUAUUUUUAUCAAAAACAUUAACUCUCUAAAUAAAUUUAAGGUAUAAUAUGUAAAAAAAUAUUAUCUUAUCUUGAUUUGUUAAAAACAAUAAGUAAAAAGAAAUUAAUAAAAAGUCAAAAUUGGAUAAGUAAAAAAGAAUAGAGGGAGUAGUUUAAUUAGUUACAGAGUUUAAGAAAAAGAAAGACUUUUGAAAUUUAUGGUCUAAAAUAAGCAAUAGAUGUUUUUGUGGAUAUAAAUCAUUUCAUUAAAAGUAAAAUUGAUAAGUUAAAAAUAAAUUGCUAAUUGAUAUAGAAAUAUAUCAUUCUUUUUUAUAAUUACUAAAAAAGAAUAAGUCAUAUAAAUUGAGACAAUGAAAGUAUCAUUUAACUUGACAUGAUAUUUAAAAGCUUUUUAGAAAAGAAAAUUACAAUCUAAAAUAAUUUUUAGAUAUUUAUAUACCUGUAAAUUACUCCAUUUAAUUUAUUUUUUUAAAUUAUAUUAUUUCUAAUUAUAAUAUCAUAACAUUCUUCUUGAGAAAAGGUGUCACGCGCAAUAGGAUGGAGGAAGUAUUUCUUUGUCCCUUAUUUUUAGUAUAUAAUCAUUUGCUAAGGUGUAUAAAAGCAAUACUAAAUAUAAUUUCAUCUCUAUUUUAAAAUGUUAAAGAGUCUUUCAAAAACAGAUUCUCUACCUUUAUAAGGUAAAAAUAAGAUAAUAAGGCAUACAUAUUGUUUAUCCUCGAUGAAGUUUUACGAAAAUUUCAUUCUCUCUUCAUUUAUUUUUAGUUGUUAUGUUGCAUUUUUCGAGAGUUAAUUUGAUUAAUUUUUUUAAAUUAAAUUAUAGUACUUUGAUGUUUUAAAAUAAAAAAUUUAAUAUUUAAAAAAUAUUAUAAUUAAAAAAAAACAUAAUAAAAUAAUUAAAAAAUAUUAAAAUAUUACACAAAAUUCAUAUAGUUUGACUUAUAAUUUAUUUUUUACAACAAUUAAAAAGAAAUGGAGGAAGUACGGUACUUGUUGUUGACUACAUCUCCACAUGGGAGUCAUUCAAUGCUCAAUCAAUCAUAGCCGUAGGAUAAAUUUGAUGGACGGUUAGGAUUUAAUAUGAAAUUAAAUAAAGAAAUGUAUAAGUAAUGAAUAAUGAUUGCUACUUUGGACCUUUUUUCAUAUUUUGUUAAGAUCUAACAUGUAUAAAGCUGUUAACUUGCUUAAAGAUUUGUUAAAUUAAUCUUGUUAAUAAUAUUUUAAAAUUUUUAAAUUUGAUAAUUACUAUUUUACGUAGUUAUUUAAUAAUAAGGCUAAUAUGAUAAAAAAAAAAUGACUCCCUCCAAUUUAUUUAUUUAAUUUAUUUUAAUUUGAUAUAAAAUUUAAAAAAUAUUUUUUAAAAAAAUGUUAUGAUCUUAAAUUAAAAAUAUAUCAGAUAGAUUAAAAAUUUAUCUAAUCUUGUAAUUUUAAAUUUGUCAGUGGAAAAGCUGGAAUAAGAAAAUUGCUAAAAGGAAAAUAGAGUGAAAAAGUUGUCAUAUUAAAAUGAAAAAGUAGAUCAAACAAUUUAAAAAUAAAAAAGUAAUAAAUUCUUUUAGAUUGUUAGUAUAAAUAAAUAUAAUAAAACAUCUAUUCUUAAUAUAUAGAAUGGAUAAAAUAAAACGAUAGUCUAUGUAAUGAUUGAUAAUUAGACUUUCAUAUCGUGUCUAGAUCUUAGUGGAGUGUUUUAAUGCUUAAUUUAAUCACAACCGUACGAUUAAAUUGAUGGACGGUUAGGAUUAGAGUUUAAAAAUAUAUAAAUGUAUUUUCUACGUUAUAUAUUGGCUGACAUUUACACUAAAAAUAGUUAUCUACGUCUUAUAUUGAUUGACAACUUAGAAAAUACAUUUAUAACCCAUUGUUGCUGCAGCUUCUACCUUUCGAGUGAUCAUUGGAUAAGUUUUUAUUGUGUGAAAUGUAAAUCGUAUUAAGUAAGUCCUAUAUAACGGACUCGACUCGGAAGACAAGACACUGAGGGAGGAUCGAUCUCUGAGUCAUCCCGAAAGACACUAAAAUUUAUUUUCAUUUACUUUCCAAUUUAUAAAAUUAAGAGAAUUUUAUUGUAUUGUACUUUUUAAUUUUUAAUUAUAUAUAAUUAUAAUUUCAAAUAUCACUCCUAUUAAUAAAAUUAAUUUAGUAAAAUACACCCUCUCAUCAAAAAUUUAUAAGAAAUAUGUCAGGUUAACAUUAAUUAAGUAAUAUAAAAUAGACAAUAGGCAACUAACCAUCGAUCAAUUAUCAAAUUUCUAAUUACACACUUAUAUUUUACAGGUCAAUUAUUUUUAUAUUACUUUAAAAUAGAACCAAAUACACCAAAAAUAAAAACAUAUGUAAUGAUUUGAUGCUUGGACUUUUCAUAUCGUGUCUACACUUCACAUGGGAGUCUUUUAAUGCUAAAUUUAAUCUCAGCCGUAGGAUUUAAAUUGAUCAACGGUUACGAUUAAUUUAUAAUAAAAAAGAAAUGUAUAUAUUAUUUGAUUAUGUGAAUGUUGUGAACCGUUGGAUGAAGUAAAUGAAUGGCUAGGAUGGAGUGUGUUUCUUUUGUGAGUAAGAAGGUGUGUUUGUUUGACAUGGAUUGAUGACGUGACGUGAAUUGAUUGGUGGUGAGGGAAUGACAAAUAAUUGAUGAGUUUUGGAUUUUUGAGCUUAGGGUAUGGGCAUUUUGGUCCAAAAAAAAAGAGAUUAAUUUGCACUUUAUGUACUUUUUUUUCAUGAUAACGGAAACUUGCCAUAAAAUCCUGCAAAUCACAUACGAGAGGUAACCUACAUCAUGUAAGCCUGAUGCGACGAGCUCGAUCCAGAAGAUAAAUCCCUUACUUUCGCUGGCAAUAAAUUUCGAACUUAAGACUUCCAACAUAAAAGUCCCAAGCCCAAACUAGUAGCGACUCCGAAGGGUUUUUGCACUUUAUGUACCUUCAAAGUACAUAUCAAUAUAUUAAUAGAGUAUCAUUACAUGUUGAUUUAUUUCUUUAAUAAAAAAAAUUAAACGAAUAUCAAUGAUACGCACAUGAUAAAAUAUCAUAUAACCGUAAGUAUAUUAUAAAAAAUUAAUCAUUCAUGUGUUCCAAGAGAGACAGUUAAUCCUUUAUGAUAAAGUAUCAUAGUUAUCACGUUUAAAAUAUCAAGCUUUGGCCAGUAAGUCUAAGUAGUUAUUAUAACUUUAUAAGGUACACAGCUGAAACAGAUAUAUUGACGUCUAAUUAUGUGCUUAUUCUUUUUUUUCUUAAUAUUCGCUCUGUUCUUAAUUACUUGAUUAUUUCUUUUCAUUUUUAGUUGUUUCUAAUUACUCGUUCAUUUUCACAAAUUAAGAAAGAAUUAAUUUUUUUUAUCUAUUAUAAUCUCAAUUAAUUACUUUGACAAAGGUAAAAUUUCUGAAAAAUAUUAAAUUUUUAAUUCAUCUAUUUCAUAAUUAAUAAGGCUAAGAUGGUAAACUUACUAUGUUAAUAAGUAUUUUCUUAAUAGGUAUGUUAAUUUAAAAUUGGACAAAUAAUUAGAAGAAGGAGUAGUAAAAAAAGUACUAUUUAUUCCUCUAUUAGAUAUCAUAAGAACUAAUUCAUGUUUUUAAAACACAGUUCUCUAUGAUGUUCAUAUGAUAAAUAUUACUCUAUAAUAGGGUUAGUAAAAAAAAUACUCCUUGAUCCUUUAUGAGGAUUUAUUCAUUUUUUCGAAAAAAAAUACAAUUUUACUUUUUAAGAAAAAUAUAAUUUUUAUUUUCAUUAGUUGAUAUAUUUAUUUUGUAUUUUUUAUCCAUUAAAAUAAAAAGAAAAUACAAAAUAGAACUAAGAAAAAAUGGAAGAAAAUAAACAUACCAAAAAUAAAUAGAAGUUUAAGAGAAAAAAAAAAACAACAAAGUCAACUAAAGAAAAUAAAUUAAAUGCCGCAAUUCAAGGCCAAUUUAAUGCGUCGAAAGCUAAGAUGGGCAAAACAGACGCCGCAAUUUGUGUGAAUUUUUAUUUUUUCGACUUUUUUCCAUUCACGACUAUAGUUUGUUUUUUUAAAAAAAAAUAAAAAAAUUCAGGGCUGGAACACGAAAUCUCUAACUAAGAGAAGAGUAACUUCAUUCACUGUACUAUAUCAUUUGGUGGUGUAUGAUUUUUUUAAAUUUAUAUUCAUAGUAAUAAACUAUUUUUUUAUGGACAUAUAUUUUAAUAUUAUAAUAUUUAUAUAUUAUGUCUGAAUAUAAUUUCAGUUUCUAAAAUCUUAUGCCCAAUUAGGCAUAAAUAUGAUUCCUCAAGACUAAAAAUUAAAAAUCAAUCUAUUUAAAAAGUAAUAAUAAAAAAUCAACCUAUUUACGAAUAAAACGUGUAAUUUUGUGGGGAAAUAAAUAUUUGAAAUUGGGCCAACUACUAUACUUUUGGGUUGGCUUAAUCCAAUUUUUCAUGUUCUUUUCACUUUAAUUUGAUUUAAAUGAGUUUCUUUUGUCUUAAACAAUUCUUCAAAAUAUGCUAUGUAUAUAAUAAAAAUUAUGGUAUAAUGUACUUAUAUAUAGCUCAAAAUUGAAGAAAUGAAAAUGUAAUUGAUAAAAUAGAGUAAUAGCAUUCUAAAAUGAUUAAAAUGGUGAUAUGACAAACAAAGAAAAUGCAGGUGGUUAAUAUUGAUACUACAAAUUUAUUGAAACUAGUGAAAUUAUUCGCUUUUUAUGUGACUUUAAGAAAAAAUCAAUAAAUUUAUAUAUGUUUACUGUUUAUAUAUACAAAAUUUGUGAAAAUUUUAUAAAUGACAUAUAUAAGACUAAUAAUUUCAAAUUAUGACAAUAUAAUAAUACUUUCAAGUUGUAACAAUAAAAUUUUUUAGGUUAUAACAG
rnacentral:lncRNA from 1 species